rnacentral:misc_RNA from 1 species
GAUGAAGAACGCAGCGAAAUGCGAUAAGUGGUGUGAAUUGCAGAAUUCAGUGAAUCAUCGAAUCUUUGAACGCACAUUGCGCCCUUUGGUAUUCCUUAGGGCAUGCCUGUUCGAGCGUCAUUUAAACCUUCAAGCUAAGCUUGGUGUUGGGUGACUGUCCGCUUCACGGCGGACUCGCCUCAAAAUUAUUGGCGGCCGGUACAUUGGCUUCGAGCGCAGCAGAAACGCGAACUCGGGCCCGUCGUAUUGGCUCCCAGAAGCUAUCUUCACAAUUUUGACCUCGGAUCAGGUAGGGAUACCCGCUGAACUUAAGCAUAUCAAUAAGCGGAGGA